UACGUAGGUGGCAAGCGUUGUCCGGAAUUAUUGGGCGUAAAGCGCGCGCAGGCGGCCUCUUAAGUCUGAUGUGAAAGCCCCCCGGCUCAACCGGGGGAGGGCCUUGGAAACUGGGAGGCUUGAGUAUAGGAGAGAAGAGUGGAAUUCCACGUGUAGCGGUGAAAUGCGUAGAGAUGUGGAGGAACACCAGUGGCGAAGGCGACUCUUUGGCCUAUACUGACGCUGAGGCGCGAAAGCGUGGGGAGCAAACAGG
rnacentral:rRNA from 1 species